GAUCCCCUUGAAGGGUCGUUCGAGACCAGGACGUUGAUAGGUCAGGUGUGUAAGCGCAGUAAUGCGUUCAGCUAACUGAUACUAAUUGCCCGUAAGGCUUGAUCCUAUAACA
rnacentral:rRNA from 2 species